rnacentral:rRNA from 1 species
UGAGGAAUAUUGGACAAUGGGUGAGAGCCUGAUCCAGCCAUCCCGCGUGAAGGACGACUGCCCUAUGGGUUGUAAACUUCUUUUAUACUGGGAUAAACCUACCCUCGUGAGGGUAGCUGAAGGUACAGUAUGAAUAAGCACCGGCUAACUCCGUGCCAGCAGCCGCGGUAAUACGGAGGGUGCAGGCGUUAUCCGGAUUUAUUGGGUUUAAAGGGUCCGUAGGCGGGCUCGUAAGUCAGUGGUGAAAUCUCAUAGCUUAACUAUGAAACUGCCAUUGAUACUGCGGGUCUUGAGUAAAGUAGAAGUGGCUGGAAUAAGUAGUGUAGCGGUGAAAUGCAUAGAUAUUACUUAGAACACCAAUUGCGAAGGCAGGUCACUAUGUUUUAACUGACGCUGAUGGACGAAAGCGUGGGGAGCGAACAGGAUUAGAUACCCUGGUAGUCCACGCCGUAAACGAUGCUAACUCGUUUUUGGGUUUUCGGAUUCAGAGACUAAGCGAAAGUGAUAAGUUUAUGCCACCUGGGGAGUACGUUCGCAAGAAUGAAACUUAAAGGAAUUGACGGGGGUCAUAGC